rnacentral:rRNA from 1 species
GACGAACGCUGGCGGCGUGCUUAACACAUGCAAGUCGAACGGUGAAGCUCCAGCUUGCUGGAGUGGAUCAGUGGCGAACGGGUGAGUAACACGUGAGCAACCUGCCCCUGACUCUGGAAUAAGCGCUGGAAACGGCGUCUAAUACUGGAUACGAGAAGGGUCCGCAUGGGCACUUUCUGGAAAGUUUUUCGGUUGGGGAUGGGCUCGCGGCCUAUCAGCUUGUUGGUGAGGUAAUGGCUCACCAAGGCGACGACGGGUAGCCGGCCUGAGAGGGCGACCGGCCACACUGGGACUGAGACACGGCCCAGACUCCUACGGGAGGCAGCAGUGGGGAAUAUUGCACAAUGGGCGAAAGCCUGAUGCAGCGACGCCGCGUGAGGGAUGACGGCCUUCGGGUUGUAAACCUCUUUCAGCAGGGAAGAGGCGAAAGUGACGGUACCUGCAGAAGAAGCACCGGCUAACUACGUG